rnacentral:lncRNA from 1 species
ACAAAAAAAAAAUAUAUGUCUCUAUUUCCCCCUAGGAUUACACAAUUCAUACUCAAACAGCCUUUUUUGUCCCCACAUUAUAUUGUAUUUCCUUUCUUUAAAGCCUUCAUUUGGUCAUUGUGUACUCUAGUGACAUGUAACUCGGUUGAGUUUAGGAUAAUCUAGAAGUUACUAAGUUGUAGAGAAUGCAUGAUUAUUUAGUUCCCUCAAUUUGAUUUUCAGUACAAUUUUAGUUAAAAAAAAAAGAAGAAAAAGUCGAAAAAAAGAAGGAGACACAUAGAAAAAACUCAGUCUCGACUAAAAAGAAAAAUUAUAGUAAAAAUAUAUAUAUAUUUGAUUGUUGG